GGUUGAUUGUUCGACUGGUUUGUGGAGUCUCUCUCAUUAUUAUUCUCCUGCUCUUGUUGUAUCGCUGCACAACAACCAACAGUGCUGUUAAUGAGCAGGCCUUCAAUCAACACCAUCAGCAGCAAGUGUACUCCUCUCUUCUUGCUGGUGAUCAUUGUGGCUAUGAGAUAAUCAGAAGGUCUGAAAACUCUGAAAAUGGGCAACGUGGUGACGCAGAGGAGAGCUCUGACUACAAUAAUGUCAAUCUGUCAGGGUGCUGGGUCGUUGACCAAAGAUUCUGAGGUUAUUUUGCUUUUGUGAGUCUCUCUGUGAAAGUGUGAAGAUGGUCUAGGUUUAAGUUUAUACAGUUUAAGCAGGAGUUUAGUUCUUUCUAUGUUUCUGAGUUUUCUUGUAUUUCCAGUUUAUGGUUUGUUGUCUGUGAGGUUCCACUUGUGUGUUUGUCUCAUCCCUGUGUCGCUUGUGAGAGUCUGUCGUGUCAUCCAUGUCUCUGCUCACUCGCCCUCCGUGUGUCUUAGUUGUGUCAGUGUGUUUUGUCUUCUCCUUGUGUUUCGUCUUUUGUCUCUCUGUUUGUUUAUCCCUGUUUCUGCAUCAAGCUCGUGCGUGUACUUCCUGUUUUAGUGUGACAGUAUUUCAUCAUGUGUUCAGUGUGUUUGGUUUGGCUUCCCUGUCUCGUUAUAUUCAAUUCAUCAGAGCUGUUUUCCAAUGUGUUUCCACUUCACUGAUCAUCUCUCAAUCCUUCCAAGGUGUUUCAAGGUAUUCCCAGUGUUCCACAUUUUCUGUUAGUUUAAGUUUUAGCUCUCCCAGCUUAGUUUUUUUUUCUUUCUUUAUUUUUGGUUAACCUGAUUUGGUUCAUGUUUGUUGGCCAUGAAAAACGUUUUUUUGUUAAAAUUUUGAUUUUGCCUCUCGUUGUCUGCAUUUGGAUCCUUACAAAGAGCCACAGAGUCUGCAGCCACAGAUUGUGACAAAAUCCAAAUUCAGCCACAGCUCUAAAGUCUUAACAGCAGCUCUUUAGCUGUUUUUUCUCUUUAAAGUCUCUUAAAUACUUGAAGUCACUUUGAGUGAAAAGGAGAAGGUUUUGAAUUCAAAGCAAUGAUCCUGAUGCCUGAGUUUAUAUUUCCUUCAGAAAGAAUCGUUUAGUGUGUUUCACUUGUUUCUCUCCC
ensembl:lncRNA